AUGGAGCACCCCUGGUUCUGCCAUGACGCGAACGACGGCGGAGGCGAGCAGGAGCAACUGAUGCGCGGCCACAAGGAGGCGGCGUGGUUCAAUACGGAGUUCGAGGAGGAGAUGGCGCGGGAUAUGACCGCGUUCGACAUCCUGGCCUUCUCACCAGGCUCGGACCUCUCCGGGUUGUCCGGUGUCAGGCCGGGCACGGAGCGGGUGUUCGUCGGCGAGCCCGCGGCGGUCGUGCUGGCCCGGGUUGAGGAUGCUGGGAAGAAGCGAGGGCACCGUGUAAGGAGGGAGGGGAAGAACCGCACUAUACCGGUGUUCGUGGAGGCGGUGGCCGGCGGCAUUGUCGCCAAGGUGACUGUGUUUAGGAUCGCCGAAGCGUUAUCAGUGGUCGAGGUCGUGAAGGGCCAUGAUGCGGAGGCCACGACGUUCUGGAAGGAUUGGCUAGAGCCAGCCAUGAAGCCUCGAACAGUGUGA
rnacentral:rRNA from 1 species